AUUUCAGUUGUGGUAGUAUAAUGUUGUACUAAAGCACGAAGUGGUACAGGUCUUAGACGAUUACCACUCUGAUAAGGCCCACGAGCAUAUGAUCCUGACAUUAUCAUUGCAGAUCUACGAUUCGAAUCAAGAACCCAGCACGCCUGUGAGUCGCUGCUCGUCCCACCCACAGCUGACCCUGGGACGGGACUGGGAUUGGUACCCACGAGUUUCUGCAGAGCGUAAUUGACCACGGACCACCUGUGGCCACGUGCACUGAGCUACCCUUGCAAUCUUCAAUAAGUACCUUCGACCAAACUGUCAGCGGUGCCUGAGACGACAGGGCCACCAGUGCCCCCUCACCGACAGUAUGUUCCACAGGUACACGGAGCGUCGUGCCAUUGGUAGCCACUUGGCUGAGAAAGCAGGAGACAGUCUUCUUCACCUGCUUUUGAGUCCGGUUGCCCUGGAUACCAGUCGGUGUUUGUAAAGCUGGCUUGGUCAAUGUCCCAGACCCACAUCCCUUCUGACCUCAGGUCACUCCCGCCAACCCAGGCACUG